rnacentral:tRNA from 1 species
GCCAAUGUAGUUAAGGGAUAGAUCAUUUUCACGUUAGGGAAGGGGUCGAGGGUUCAAAUCCCUUCAUUGGUC